rnacentral:rRNA from 1 species
CAUGUAGGCGGCUUUUUAAGUCGGAUGUGAAAUCCCUGAGCUUAACUUAGGAAUUGCAUUCGAUACUGGAAAGCUAGAGUAUGGGAGAGGAUGGUAGAAUUCCAGGUGUAGCGGUGAAAUGCGUAGAGAUCUGGAGGAAUACCGAUGGCGAAGGCAGCCAUCUGGCCUAAUACUGACGCUGAGGUACGAAAGCAUGGGGAGCAAACAGGAUUAGAUACCCCUGUA